rnacentral:tRNA from 1 species
UUAAUUAAAGCCAAAAAAGAGGCUUAUCACUGUUAAUGAUAGAACUGGUAAUUUACCUAAUUAAG